rnacentral:rRNA from 1 species
GUGCCAGCAGCCGCGGUAAUACGGAGGGUGCAAGCGUUAAUCGGAAUGAUUGGGCGUAAAGCGCACGCAGGCGGUCUGUUAAGUUGGAUGUGAAAUCCCCGGGCUUAACCUGGGAACAGCAUUCAAAACUGACAGGCUAGAGUCUCGUAGAGGGGGGUAGAAUUCCAGGUGUAGCGGUGAAAUGCGUAGAGAUCUGGAGGAAUACCGGUGGCGAAGGCGGCCCCCUGGACGAAGACUGACGCUCAGGUGCGAAAGCGUGGGGAGCAAACAGGAUUAGAUACCCCUGGUAGUCCACGCCGUAAACGAUGUCGACUUGGAGGCUGUGGUCUAGAACCGUGGCUUCCGGAGCUAACGCGUUAAAUCGACCGCCUGGGGAGUACGGCCGCAAGGUUAAAACUCAAAUGAAUUGACGGGGGCCCGCACAAGCGGUGGAGCAUGUGGUUUAAUUCGAUGCAACGCGAAGAACCUUACCUACUCUUGACAUCCAGAGAACUUUCCAGAGAUGGAUUGGUGCCUUCGGGAACUCUGAGACAGGUGCUGCAUGGCUGUCGUCAGCUCGUGUUGUGAAAUGUUGGGUUAAGUCCCGCAACGAGCGCAACCCUUAUCCUUUGUUGCCAGCGGUUAGGCCGGGAACUCAAAGGAGACUGCCAGUGAUAAACUGGAGGAAGGUGGGGAUGACGUCAAGUCAUCAUGGCCCUUACGAGUAGGGCUACACACGUGCUACAAUGGCAUAUACAAAGAGAAGCGACCUCGCGAGAGCAAGCGGACCUCAUAAAGUAUGUCGUAGUCCGGAUUGGAGUCUGCAACUCGACUCCAUGAAGUCGGAAUCGCUAGUAAUCGUAGAUCAGAAUGCUACGGUGAAUACGUUCCCGGGCCUUGCACACACCGCCCGU